AGAAGCCUGUUAAAACAUGUGGCAUUUUAAAAGAGCACAUGAAAAAAUUAUUUGAGCUGCUCUUUCAGAAACUUUUUGUAUUCAUUCCACUGCUGAACCGCAACAUACAUCAAUGUAACCUUCAGUAACUGAUCAGAACUAUACAUCUUUGGUUAUUCUGCCAAGACACGUGAGAAAGUGUGCCUUAAGUCUCCAUAUCGUUUUGUUUAUAACUGUAAAAAAAUAAGAAUCUUCUCUUUUCUAAGGACAAACAGUCAAUGAAUCAGUCAACCACAGAUCACACAACUGCCAUGAUGUGGAUGGAGACAAAAAUACUGAAAUAACCUAUGCAUCAGUUGUUUUUAAGCCACACAACUGCCAUGACAAUGAAGUUCUUCUAAAUAAUGACGCUGUAAAUGGCUCUGCAUCAGAACUUGUCAGCUCAGAGAAGGUCCUUUAUGCUACUGUCAAGCAAAGAGACAGAAGAUGAGCAAGUGAGCAGCGAAAUAUCCAAAUUAAAACACUCAAGAAAAAACUAAUGAUUCUAGAGAAUUCCCAUCUUGUAUUGUUUGAUUUAUCAGCAAUUGAAUCUAACAGGAGUGGAAAUGCUGUAUAGGCUUAUCUUGCAAAUAAAAAUGACUGUACAAGUGCUCUGAAAAGAUGAACAGUGAGGGCACCAAUCCACCGUAGCUUGUACAGUCUAAUUUAUGCUCUGUUUUUAAGCAGAAAUUUGUUUUGUCAUGUUAAUGUGAACACAAAUCCAGAUUACAUUUGUCUUGUGCUGUUUUUAUUAGAGUAUUAGAGACACAAAUCACAUUUUGAACUAUUUUUAAUUUUAAACUAAUUUAACUAAAUGACCAAAAAUGUGAUAUGUAGAUGAAGACCCGAGAAGUAACCUCAUUUGGACCUUUUCUAAAGCACCAGGGAAACCAAAGUAAGCUAAUUCAUACCCUUUUCUCUUAAAAAAGAAAGAAAAGAAAAUCUAAAACAAAAAUGUAUUAAUUUAUGAGAAAUGAGUGAAUCGACCCUAAUUGUAGAAAGAGUCUAAUGUUUAUCUAGAAUGUAUAUUGGCUUGGUCUUUACCUUUUAUAGUUAUUUGAAAGUCAUACUCUUGGCUCAGUUGAGUUGUAACUGUGGAUGAAUGGUGUGAAACUGAACUCAGCUACUUUAUCACCUAAACCACUGAAGUCUUUGCAGACAAUGUGACAGGACCACACAUGCAACAGUAAGGCACGAUAAAACAGGUGUAGGAGCAGUAACUGUCUAUCUGGUAAAGAAGCAUGUUAUGGAUUUGAGUUAGUAUAAAGCCACUCCAGGCCAAGAUGCUUACAGGAAACCAGAGUGGAAAUCCCCAUAUCCAUGAACGUCUUCACAAAAAGCCACAGCUUCUGUUUUGUCGCAUAGCAAAUAUUCGGUUGUGCAAGUCUUGUAUGAAAAUGUUUUCUCACUACUGAUGCUUUUUUUAAAUUCCUAAUUAAAAACAGCUUUCAAA